CUUUUAUUGUGUGUGCUUUUGUGUUUAGUGUUAGAUAUACUAUUAUCUGUACUUAGUCGAGGGUCUAUCGAAAACCACCUCUUUACUUUAUUUGAGGUUGUGUUAUGGUCUGUGCACACAUUACCCUCCCCAGACCCCACUAGAUGGGAAUCACUAGGUAUGUUGCUGUUGUUGUUGUAAUAUGUUAAAUCCUUGCGAAUUGUCUUUGUUACUGUCACUUAUUAAUUUUACUUACUUUUAGUUAGGACAUUCAAAAAGAUCUGAAGAGGCCGAUUUAAACUUUGGUUCAGCUUAGCACAAGUGCCAUGACUAGUCUGGACUAGAGAAUCAUCAAAAUGCUAGGAAAACACCUGAUAAUGCAUUCACGACAGUGUUUGGAAAAGAGAAACCUGGUCGAGUUAGAGGCUAUGGUAGAUCAGUGACAAGAGCUUCUCUGGAAAAAUAUGAGGAAAUGAAUGAGCUUAACAAAAGCAUGCUAAUGAAGUAACUUCUAUUAAGGAAGAAAUUAUAAGUGAAAUAAGAGAAGAAAUGCGACAGUUUUUUAGUAAAUUGGUGCAAAAGAAUACUGGAUUGAAUUUUCAAGAUAUACUAGGGAGUGAUGGAUCUAACAUUCCUUCACCUGAUGUGAGUAAUGCACAAGUUAUAAGAGGAAAAAUUCUUUUAAACUCUUCUAGCUCAACUCAUGCUUCGGUUCAUGAAAAGGAUUAAUGCGGUGGAUCAAAUUUGAAUGGCGGGCGCCACAACUCAACAUGAUUGAGAUUGAAGUGAAUGAUGAAUUUCUGAAAUAUUUUGAUAUACAUUUAUAUACAUUUGGUUUUGUGUGGAACUUGAUACAAUUUUUUAUUAUGUUUUUUUUCUUAUUAGUAUGUAAAAGACAUAUUUUUUUAAAAUCAAAUCU